rnacentral:pre_miRNA from 1 species
AGUGGAAUUGCUGGGUCAUAUGGUAACCUUGUUUAGCUGUUUGAGGAGCCACCAAACUGUUUUCCACAGAGGUGGUACCAUUUUACAUUCCCAUCAGCAAU